GAGCUGGACAAUGGGACUACUCACCCCACCCACCUCGCAAAGUGAUCCAGGACAGGAAAUGGGUUAAUAGAAGGUCGGAUUUAGAAGAGUGUGAGGUGCGAGGAGGGUGCUAUAUUGCCCUCAGCGGACACAUCUCGCGAAUCUGAGAAAACCCAGGCUCAAGCCGUCUGUGUAAUUAUCUUAAAGUUUUUCAUUUCGGAAAUGAAACAGCUCCUCCCUUCACCGCCACCUUGGCUAUUUCUGGGACCAAAGGAAUCCUUGAAGCUGACCGGGCAGGAGAGUCCACGCUGGGAGUAAAAUCACUGCAAAUGUU